GGAAAUCUCACCAGGCCCGGACACUGGAAGGAUUGACAGAUUGAUAGCUCUUUCUUGUUAGCAAUAACAGGUCUGUGAUGCCCGUUCUUAGUUGGUGGAGUGAUUUGUCUGGUUAAUUCCGUUAACGAACGAGACCUUAACCUGCUAACUAGUUUGUAUUCUCACAGAGUGCAAUACUUCUUAGAGGGACUAUAUGUGUCAAGCAUAUGGAAGUUUGAGGCAAUAA
rnacentral:rRNA from 1 species